rnacentral:ncRNA from 1 species
UCUGGUUUCUUGCUUUCCCAUAAAAAAGCAAGUGGUGCGGAUGGGGCAACCCCGCCCAGUUUCUUGCUUCUGGUCAAAGAGCAAGUGGCGAGCCUGCAU